CUGGGUGUGAGUGGCACCAACCAACUGGCCUGUCACCUGAAAGGAAUAAAAGGGGAACAAAGAAGGAAGCCUUGCUUCUGUUUCUUCAGAAAACAGAUCCGAUCUUCACCUUUACCUUGGAUGUCAUCUCCCAGCUUCCUUCCGGCACAGACUCUUCAGCCUCUAGCACAGAACCUUCAACCUCCUGAUACAAAAUUGCAUGGGACACUACAUGAGCUCCAGGAUCUCCAUUGCACAGACUGCCCUUUUGCCCUCUUCCACACCUGAUUCUCCAGGUGCCCACUCUUCCAGACCAAUGAUCAUGAAGGAAUGAAGUUGAGGAUUGGUCUCAGAUGGCAGCUGAAUGACUGAUACACGAGCUGUUGUUCUGACUUGGGGAUUUAGCAGAUGUUUUCUAAAGAGUGGAUGAAGUAAGCCUGCCACUUCAAGGAAAACAACAGGUUUUUCUGAUGAGAAACACGACCCACUGAUUUUGUGUAGUGGAAUAAUGACAACAUUUGGAAAAUCUGCGCAACUCAGGGAAUCAUCAUAUUCUAAAAGUUACAAAAUUUUGGCUGGCUAAAAGAUAUGCACAAAAUGAAGAUGUAUCAGUAGUUUUUAAUGUAGUAGAGCACAAAAAUUCAUUGAUACAUUUUCCGAUUCCAUGCUUGCAACUAACCUAUGAGAAAUUAUUACUUGUUGAGUUUUGCUUUAAUAUCAAAGAAGAAUAUCUACAAUUAUUUGCAAAACUAUUAAACUAUGAUUCUUUUUUUUUCCUAACUA